AAAUUAUUCCCUUUUAGGAUGCGCCAGUUUUAUAUUUAUAAACAACAAGUUGAUUCAGUACAAGCAUGUCAGCAGAAGAUCAACUUGUUGAGUAUAAAUAUAAAUUAAACUGGCGCAUCCUAAAAGGGAAUAAUUUGUAGUGUAU
rnacentral:miRNA from 1 species